rnacentral:rRNA from 1 species
GAUGAACGCUAGCGGCAGGCUUAAUACAUGCAAGUCGAGGGGGCAGCAAUGUCACCGGCGAACGGGUGCGUAACGCGUAUGCAACCUACCUACAUCAGGGGGAUAGCCCUAGGAAACUGGGAUUAACACCGCAUCAUAUAAGCUACGGCAUCGUAACUUAUUGAAAUAUUUAUAGGACGUAGAUGGGCAUGCGUAGGAUUAGCUAGUUGGUAAGGUAACGGCUUACCAAGGCUACGAUCCUUAGGGGCCCUGAGAGGAGUAUCCCCCACACUGGCACUGAGAUACGGGGCAGACUCCUACGGGAGGCAGCAGUAGGGGAUAUUGGGCAAUGGAGGCAACUCUGUCCCAGCCAUGCCGCGUGCAGGAAGACGGUCCUCUGGAUUGUAAACUGCUUUUGAAUGGGAAGAAUGUGCUUCUUGCGAGGAGUAAUGACGGUACCAUUAGAAUAAGCCACGGCUAACUACGUGCCAGCAGCCGCAGUAA